rnacentral:rRNA from 1 species
CGACUCUCGGCAACGGAUAUCUCGGCUCUCGCAUCGAUGAAGAACGUAGCGAAAUGCGAUACCUGGUGUGAAUUGCAGAAUCCCGCGAACCAUCGAGUCUUUGAACGCAAGUUGCGCCCGAGGCCACUCGGCCGAGGGCACGCCUGCCUGGGCGUCAC